GUCUCCAUAACGCAAUUGGUUAGCGUGUCGGACUUCUACGGAUUUGUCCUUUUUGGCAAUUUCCUCCAUCCGGAGGUUGCGGGUUCGAGUCCCGCUGGAGACU
rfam:Tilletiaria anomala TBC 951 K437scaffold_16, whole genome shotgun sequence.